UACGUAGGGUCCGAGCGUUGUCCGGAAUUAUUGGGCGUAAAGGGCUCGUAGGUGGUUUGUCGCGUCGGGAGUGAAAUCCCUGGGCUUAACCCAGGGCCUGCUUUCGAUACGGGCAGACUAGAGGCAUUCAGGGGAGAACGGAAUUCCUGGUGUAGCGGUGAAAUGCGCAGAUAUCAGGAGGAACACCGAUGGCGAAGGCAGGUCUCUGGGCAUUAACUGACGCUGAGGAGCGAAAGCAUGGGGAGCGAACAGG
rnacentral:rRNA from 1 species